UUGUGUAGCGUCGGUAAUGGCACUUGGCGAAUGUAAGGCGAAAUGGGGGUGGCGCGUACAGGAUGUGCGCGCCAGCCGAACCGAAACAGGACGUUGAGUUGAGGCGACCCUCAUUUUGCCUGGAAUGAGCCGUAGUGCUGUCGACGUGGAAUAU
rfam:Desulfotomaculum aeronauticum DSM 10349 genome assembly, contig: EJ44DRAFT_scaffold00001.1